CGCGCGCGCCUUUUACUCGGAUCGUCCGGCACGUUCCUGCCGGUGGAAGGAUGCACGU
rfam:Actinobacteria bacterium 13_2_20CM_2_71_6 13_2_20cm_2_scaffold_290, whole genome shotgun sequence.